UGUGGACGCCAGUCUGCAUGGAGCCGACCUUGAAAUACCACCCUUUAAUGUUUGAUGUUCUAACGUGGACCCGUGAUCCGGGUUGCGGACAGUGUCUGGUGGGUAGUUUGACUGGGGCGGUCUCCUCCUAAAGAGUAACGGAGGAGCACGAAGGUUGGCUAAUCCUGGUCGGACAUCAGGAGGUUAGUGCAAUG
rnacentral:rRNA from 1 species